rnacentral:lncRNA from 1 species
UCACACCAUCCCCCUACAUUUCUGCCUUCAGAGACGUUGAGAGUCCACGUUUACACGCUGAAUCCUAUUUCCACGGCGAUGCAUCCGUUACGUGAAGACUCCUUGACGCGGACUGCUUUGAAAACCGUUACGGAAAGCAUCAAUAUAAAUAGCAACUUUGCAAACCCUGCAGAGGUUCCACGCUUCCACGUUUGCACGCUUUUUCCAGAUUUCGGCAGUUUCCAAUUUUCUUUUCUUCAGCAGUUUAAG